GUGAGUCAUCGAAUCUUUGAACGCACAUUGCGCCCGCCGGCAUUCCGGCGGGCACGCCUGUUCGAGCGUCAUUUCAACCCUCGCGCCCGGCGCGGUGAUGGGGAUCCGCGGCACCGCGGGCCCUGAAAACUAGUGGCGGCAUCGCCUGGAACGCAGCGUAGUAGUAACACCUCGCUAGCGGCCCCAGGCGCUGCCCGCCGUGAAACAUAGUCGACGAGUUGACCUCGGAUCAGGCGGGAAUACCCGCUGAACUUAAGCAUAUCAAUAAGCGGAGGA
rnacentral:misc_RNA from 1 species